rnacentral:snoRNA from 1 species
AAGACUAUACUUUCAGGGAUCAUUUAUUUAGUUUAUUGCUAGACAAGUUUCUCUGAUGGUGUAGAGUACUGAAACCCACAAGGAGGAGGUGCAGUCUUCUUUCCUGAGCUUGAAGCCUGUUCUUGAUGUUGAGUCACUGCAACUGGCAUUUGCCAUUGAUAAUUAUUCUUGCUUUCCUUCAAGGGAGUAAAAAGAAGAGGUUGUAAUCCGAGCGGU